rnacentral:rRNA from 1 species
GAUGAACGCUGGCGGCGUGCCUAAUACAUGCAAGUCGAGCGAACAGACGAGGAGCUUGCUCCUCUGACGUUAGCGGCGGACGGGUGAGUAACACGUGGAUAACCUACCUAUAAGACUGGGAUAACUUCGGGAAACCGGAGCUAAUACCGGAUAAUAUAUUGAACCCCACGCCCCCAUCGUCAAAGACGGUUUUGCCGUCACUUAUAGAUGGAUCCGCGCCGCAUUAGCUAGUUGGUAAGGUAACGGCUUACCAAGGCAACGAUGCGUAGCCGACCUGAGAGGGUGAUCGGCCACACUGGAACUGAGACACGGUCCAGACUCCUACGGGAGGCAGCAGUAGGGAAUCUUCCGCAAUGGGCGAAAGCUUGACGGAGCAACGCCGCGUGAGUGAUGAAGGUCUUCGGAUCGUAAAACUCUGUUAUUAGGGAAGAACAAAUGUGUAAGUAACUAUGCACGUCUUGACGGUACCUAAUCAGAAAGCCACGGCUAACUACGUG